GGGGAACUGAGCAGCUUUUUGUAUGAGCAAAUAAAUGAAGUGUUCUGAGAUUCCUGCUUGUGCAGCUGCAAGGAAAUUACUGAACAUCGUUUUUCCAUUCUCUGCAGGUCAGACAAUCUCCAUAUUGGCUGAGUCUCGGGCAUUUCAUAGCAUCAGAGUUCUGGCUCAAGCUAAGGUUUUCAGAGAAACUGACCCAGCCAAAACUACCAACAGAAUCCAGAGCUUGGCCACAACAAAAUCAUCUUCAGACAACUAUCUACAUCAGUGGCACCUUUCAGAUACCUGUGGCAGAUGUAGCGAAGUGUGAUCAUAAAACAAGGUGAGUGUGCAUUCCCAGACCUGCGGUCCCAGGGAGUUUUUGAGCAGAGAGGAUGUCUUUGUAUUUA
rnacentral:lncRNA from 1 species